UAGAGUGUUAGUAUAUGGAGAGAAGGUGGUGCAAAAUCCAAGUAAAUAAAGGGUUUUGUUUGUGGCUACUCACUAAAUGGAGCCCUUCACCCAUAGCCCUUAGGUCUUUAUUAAAGUUGCACAUACAUCCGGGAGGGUGUGGCCAAACUUUUCUGGAUUCUAGCUAUUGGAAUCUCUUCUUGUGUGAGAAUAUGAUGAGUUUGUGUUCGAUGGUUUUGUCACCUUCCUCUUGCUUUGGAAGAGAUGCAACAACUAAGUAAAAUCAUCUUUUAUUAUUCUUCUUCUUAUUUUUAGGACCUUGUUUUUUUGAUCCGUCGAUGGGCAUCUGACGGUUGUUUUUGGUUUGUGAACCAUUGGAGAUUCAAUUCACACUGUUUCAUAUCAUCUAUAUCCAUUGGGAUUUGCGUUCUCUUUUCUUUUUCUUUUUUAACUUAGGAGGAGGAAUAAACCUUGGGCUUGAUGAUAUAAGAUGAUAUGAGAUGGAUGUUUCACACUUCUGCUUUCACUUUUCUCUCUGUUUUGUUUUUAUGCAUUUGGAUGUUCGUGGCAUGGUGGUGUGGUAAAAAUUGAAAGCUGGUAAUACUGCUUCAUAAUCAUAAUGCUUUCAUACCAUUGCCAGCAUCCUCUGCUGCCUUAUGUCUUCUUUAAUUAUUCUAUUUGUCCUUGGAUCAUUUCUCUGUGAUUAGGGACCAUUUUUUUGAGACAGAAAUAUUGUCUUUUUUCUAUCCUUAAUUCUAUCAAUGAAACAGCUCUGUUUUUUUUUAAUUUACUUAUCUAUUUGAGAAUCUCACCUUAUAAAUUAUAUAAACCAUGUCAUUAAAAUAACUUAGGAGUGUUUUUUUUAUCUAUUUAACUAACAACCAGCCAAUAACAGUUCAGUAAUUAUAAUAUUAUAAUAUUAUAAUAAAAUGGUAUGUACUUAGAAGAGCCGACCAGUUUCAGUGGUUUGCUUAGUCCUAACAUACAAAAUCAACAUGUUUGGGCUCAAUCAUUUCAUUAAAAUAUUUUUUUAUUGUUAGGUUCUUCACAUGACCAUUUAAAGUAAUGAUAGGUCAAUCUUUUAGAUUUGGGUACGGUGUAUUUUCUGAAGUACCACCUAUUAACUAUAGCCCUAAGCCUUUUGAUAAAGAGCAGGCUGCUAGUCUGCUAGUAGUAGUACCACUCAAGGAUGAUUGAUGCUGUGGGUGUUCAAGGAACAUUUUUAGAGACUACUCUAUGGGUUUAUGGGUUUAUUUAUUUCAAUUUAGAAUGAUUUUUUUUUACUGCCCAAGUGGAUUUGAGUUUUAUGUUUUUAACUGUUUAUUUUUAUGUAGUUAGGUUUUAUAAGAUGAUAAAGUGAAUAAAUAAUGAGAGAUCUUUUUUCCAUCUUUGGAAUGAUUUAUCUCUUUUUAGAAGUGUGGGUCCUUAUGAAAUUUGAGUGGCGUAUCACUUUAGCAGCAAUUGUGAAUGAAAAGGUACCACUGAUAUAUGAGAUUCCAAUCUAAUGUGAUGACUGAUGACACAUCAUGACAUGUGAGUUUUUGUGAGUUGUGGACUUGAACUUUGGAUUUUAUAUCAAAUUAUGGAAUUUAGAUAACAUAUUAACUACUUUUUUUUAAAUCUUUUUUUUUAAAAGAUCAUUCCUUGUAUGGGCGCGAUCCGGGUUCGAGAUUGAUAUUAGUCCUGAUAAGUAUUUUGGAUGUGAUAGUUUGAUUUUAUUUGUUGAAACUAGAGAUGUUAAUCCAGCUUAAUAAACUGAACACUAAAUUUGGAUUUGGUUAGUUUAGUUAACUAAAUUUAGAAAUCAAUGGACAAUGGAUAUUAAAAUUUUAUUUUUUAAUAUUUAGUUCCUUAAUUGAUUUAUUAUUUUAAAAAAUAAAAAAUUCAUCCCUGAACUGGUGGCGGGGGUCAUUAUGUAAUUUUUUAAUUUUAAUAACUACCAUCAAUCUCGAUUCCUUCGCUCCUAUUCACUGUUUCAUUUCUCUCCACCGAUUUCUUUUGUACCAUCGAUUCCUCUGCUGAUUUCUCCUUCAAGGUUCGACUUCCGCUACAGUUUUUGUCUCCGUUGAUUUUUUUUUGAAUAAUUGCAUGUUCAGAAUUUUUAAAUAUUAUAUGUUCAGAUUUAUAACUAAUUAUAUGUUCAAAUUUAUAACUAGUUAUAUGUUCAGUUUUAUAAUUAAGUUAUAAUUAGUUGCAUGCUUAAGUUUAUAAAUGAUUGCAUGUUUAGGUUUAUAAUUAGUUGCAUGCUCAUAUUUACAAUUACUUGCAUGUUCAUGAUUUUCAAAUAGUUGCAUGUUCAGAUUUACAACUAAAUAUUACAUAUUCAGGUUUAUAAUUACUUGCAUGUUCGUGAUUUUUAAAUAGUUGCAUGUACAGGUUUAUAACUAAUUGCAUGUUCAGAUUUACAACUAAUUACAGUAUUCAGUUUUACAAUUACUUACCUAUUAAUGAUUUUCAAAUAAUUGUAUGUUUAGGUUUAUAAUUAGUUACAUAUUCAUUAUUCAGAUUUAUAACUAGUUGAAUGUUCAAAUAUAUAAUUAUUUAAAUAUUUAUGUUUAUAAUUAAUUGAAUAUUCAAGAUUUUCAAAGAGUUAUAUUUUUAGGCUUAUAAUUAUAUAUAUGUUCAGGUUUAUAAUUUUUUUUCAUAACAAAUUUCAGAAGAUGAGAACGGAUUUCAGAAUGAAUUGAAGAUUGAACGGAUAAAGAUCAAGUAGAAAUGUUGAAUGUGAUUGGUGGGGCUGUUGUAUGUUGGCUGUAGAUUGGUGAGGUUAUUGAAGAAUGAAGAUAGAUGAAGAUAAGAGGAAGAUCAAGAUCGUGAAAAAAUAGAGAGAUUGUGGAAAAUCAAGAAUUAUGAGAGAUCAAGAUCAAGAUCAAGAUCAAGAUCAAGAUCAAGAUCAAGAUCAAGAUCAAGAUCAAGAUCAAGAUCAAGAUCAAGAUCAAGAUCAAGAUCAAGAUCAAGAUCAAGAUCAAGAUCAAGAUCAAGAUCAAGAUCAAGAUCAAGAUCAAGAUCAAGAUCAAGAUCAAGAUCAAGAUCAAGAUCAAGAUCAAGAUCAAGAUCAAGAUCGUGAAAGAGGAAGAUCAAGAAAUGUUUAAGUUGACGUUUUUGUAUUUUCUUUAUUUAAUUAGUUGUUUUUAUUUGUAAUAUAAAAAUAUUAAGGUU
rnacentral:lncRNA from 1 species